rnacentral:rRNA from 1 species
UUCUGGCUCAGGAUGAACGCUAGCGACAGGCUAACACAUGCAAGUCGAGGGGCAGCAUAGAAGUAGCAAUACUUGGUGGCGACCGGCGCACGGGUGAGUAACGCGUAUGCAACCUACCUAUCAGAGGGGAAUAACCCGGCGAAAGUCGGACUAAUACCGCAUAAAACAGGGGCACCGCAUGGUGAUAUUUGUUAAAGAAAUUCGCUGAUAGAUGGGCAUGCGUUCCAUUAGGUAGUUGGUGAGGUAACGGCUCACCAAGCCGACGAUGGAUAGGGGAACUGAGAGGUUGGUCCCCCACACUGGUACUGAGACACGGACCAGACUCCUACGGGAGGCAGCAGUGAGGAAUAUUGGUCAAUGGGCGGGAGCCUGAACCAGCCAAGUCGCGUGAAGGAAGAAGGAUCUAUGGUUCGUAAACUUCUUUUGCAGGGGAAUAAAGUGCAGGACGUGUCCUGUUUUGUAUGUACCCUGAGAAUAAGGAUCGGCUAACUCCGUGCCAGCCGCUGC